rnacentral:lncRNA from 1 species
GUCAGGGAAAAGAGAUUUCAAAAGUGCAGCAGCUCCCCAGAGCACAGCUGUUGACCCUGACCCAAGAGGAAGUUGUUUUGUGGCUGAGCUAAAGGUGCCCACUGAAGUGCCAGUGGGGCCUGGAAAUCUGCAUGCUAACCACACCAUUCUGGAAAGAAGUUCCCUCCAUGUUUCCAUUACUCAAUGGCUAGAAGUCCAGACAACUGAGUUUGGCCCUGUUGAUGUUUAUUCAGUCAGAGUAAUCUCUCCAGGCUCGGCAUGCAUCAUCUCUAAGACAUGGAUAAUACUACUAUCUACCCAACUGCCCUUAUGGGGUUAGGAGAGAGCAAGUAAGACAAAAAGAUGUUGUCUGAAGAUGGGAUGCUUGGGACUGCAGCAGCCACCUUGUAAUCAUGAGGAGAAAGCCAAGAGCUGCACAGAGAAACAGAUCCAAAAGCCUGACAUUACUGU